CAAGACCUUGCGCUCUUUGAGCGGCCGAUGUCUGAUUAGCUAGUUGGUGAGGUAAAGGCUUACCAAGGCUUCGAUCAGUAGCUGGUCUGAGAGGACGACCAGCCACACUGGGACUGAGACACGGCCCAGACUCCUACGGGAGGCAGCAGUGGGGAAUUUUGGACAAUGGGGGAAACCCUGAUCCAGCCAUGCCGCGUGAGUGAGGAAGGCCUUCGGGUUGUAAAGCUCUUUCGGCCGGAACGAAAAGGUCACGGCUAAUACCCGUGACAAAUGACGGUACCGGAAGAAGAAGCACCGGCUAACUACGUGCCAGCAGCCGCGGUAAUACGUAGGGUGCAAGCGUUAUUCGGAAUUACUGGGCGUAAAGCGUGCGCAGGCGGUUUUGUAAGUCAGAUGUGAAAUCCCCGGGCUUAACCUGGAACU
rnacentral:rRNA from 1 species